rnacentral:misc_RNA from 1 species
GCGGCGGCUAGAUCGGCCUUCUCCAGUUGCGCUGCAUGGUCGCCCGCGACAGCAAUUGCCGCCGCUUGCCUGCCUUCAAAGAAGUCCACGCCCUCGUCGCCCUCGACGGCGAGCGCGUCGCCGUUCGUCCUGGAGGAUGCGACCGACGAGCGGGUGGAAGGAGACGCGCUCGGCCUCGGCUUCGCCCUCGAAGACCUCCACGCCCUCGUCGUUCUCGACGGUGAGAGCGCCGCCAUCGGUGUCGUCCUGGUGGAUGCGGCCGUCGAGUCGGUAGGCGUCGUCCUGGCGGAGCAUGUCGGCGAGCGGGUAGAAGACACGGAUCACUUUGGCGAGCACGAUCGUCAUGCAUGUUAUGGCGGGAUUUAUUU